rnacentral:rRNA from 1 species
CCUACGGGUGGCAGCAGUGGGGAAUAUUGGACAAUGGAGGCAACCCUGAUCCAGCCAUGCCGCGUGUGUGAAGAAGGCCCUCGGGUUGUAAAGCACUUUCAGUGAGGAAGAACGCCUGGUGGUUAAUACCCAUCAGGAAAGACAUCACUCACAGAAGAAGCACCGGCUAACUCCGUGCCAGCAGCCGCGGUAAUACGGAGGGUGCGAGCGUUAAUCGGAAUUACUGGGCGUAAAGCGCGCGUAGGUGGCUUGAUAAGCCGGUUGUGAAAGCCCCGGGCUCAACCUGGGAACGGCAUCCGGAACUGUCAAGCUAGAGUGCAGGAGAGGAAGGUAGAAUUCCCGGUGUAGCGGUGAAAUGCGUAGAGAUCGGGAGGAAUACCAGUGGCGAAGGCGGCCUUCUGGACUGACACUGACACUGAGGUGCGAAAGCGUGGGUAGCAAACAGGAUUAGAUACCCUUGUAGUC